UCCCGUGUAGCUAUGAAAGUGCUGGGUUCUUACCUCAGUGAAGUGGAUGCACCGCGGGGA
rnacentral:tRNA from 1 species